rnacentral:rRNA from 1 species
ACACGUAGUUAACUUAACCUAUGGAUGGGGAUAACCUCGGGAAACUGAGAAUAAUACCCAAUAGACCACAGUGCCUGGAAUGGCCUGUGGUUGAAAUGAUUUAUCGCUGUAGGAUAGGACUGCGGCCUAUCAGCUUGUUGGUGAGGUAAUGGCCCACCAAGGCUAUAACAGGUACGGGCUCUGAGAGGAGGGGCCCGGAGAUGGGUACUGAGACACGGACCCAGGCCCUAUGGGGCGCAGCAGGCGAGAAACCUUUGCAAUGUGCGAAAGCACGACAAGGUUAAUCCGAGUGUCUCCUGCUAAAGGAGUCUUUUGUCAGUUGUAGAAUCACUGGUGAAUAAGGGGUGGGCAAGUUCUGGUGUCAGCCGCCGCGGUAAAACCAGCACCUCGAGUGGUCAGGAGGUUUAUUGGGGCCUAAAGCAUCCGUAGCCGGUUGCAUAAGUUUUCGGUUAAAAUCUAUGCGCUCAACGUAUAGGCCGCCGAAAAUACUGUGCAGCUAGGGAGUGGGAGAGGUACACGGUACUCAAUAGGAAGGGGUAAAAUCCUUUGAUCUAUUGAUGACCACCUGUGGCGAAGGCGGUGUACCAGAACACGUUCGACGGUGAGGGAUGAAAGCUGGGGGAGCAAACCGGAUUAGAUA